rnacentral:rRNA from 1 species
UACGGGGGGGGCAAGCGUUGUUCGGAAUUACUGGGCGUAAAGGGCGCGUAGGCGGCCUUCUAAGUCAGACGUGAAAUCCCUCGGCUCAACCGAGGAACUGCGUCUGAUACUGGAAGGCUUGAAUCCGGGAGAGGGAUGUGGAAUUCCAGGUGUAGCGGUGAAAUGCGUAGAUAUCAGGAAGAACACCCGUGGCGAAGGCGGCUCUCUGGGACGGUACUGACGCUGAGACGCGAAAGCGUGGGGAGCGAACAGG